rnacentral:lncRNA from 1 species
GUGGUCUCAUGGUGGGUGUCUUUUAGGUCCCAGUUGUUGUUACUAGUCAACUUCCAGUGGACACCCCCAUAGUGUCUUUCAGAGCCCCUCCUAAAAAACAAGUUAUAUUUUGGGUUGGAUAUUGCAUCAUAUUGUUGAUAUUUUAAUCAAUGGCAUUUCCUUACAAUGCUCAUUAGUCUUUCAGUUGUUAUUAUUGUUUUUUAUCCUCAUAUUUGUGUACUAAAUAUUUCUGAUUAUUUUCAUAGUUUUUUCCUGUGAAGCCAUUGUGUUGCAUCCAUGUCUGAAAUGUGCUGUAUAAAUAAAGCUUGAUUUGAUUUGAACAUAUUGCGAAACAAAUGAACCCAAUGACCGACCAAUCAACAGACUCUUGGUCCCUCUUAGUAUCCCCCUUGUCCCUUUCCCAAUGUCAUGAACUAGACCAGGUACUGUUACAGCUGCUCUCUCCUCCUCAAUGUCAUGAACUAGACCAGGUACUGUGUUACAGCUGCUCUCUCAAUGCCAUGAACUAGACCAGGUACUGUGUUACAGCUGCUCUCUCCUCCUCAAUGUCAUGAACUAGACCAGGUACUGUGUUACAGCUGCUCUCUCCUCCUCAAUGUCAUGAACUAGACCAG